rnacentral:sRNA from 1 species
GAAGUCUAAAAAUCACACGUGGUGGCCG